rnacentral:rRNA from 1 species
CAGCCGCCGCGGGAAUACGUAGGGUCCGAGCGUUGUCCGGAAUUAUUGGGCGUAAAGGGCUCGUAGGCGGUUUGUUGCGUCGGGAGUGAAAACCCAGGGCUUAACUUUGGGCUUGCUUUCGAUACGGGCAGACUUGAGGCAUUGAGGGGAGAACGGAAUUCCUGGUGUAGCGGUGAAAUGCGCAGAUAUCAGGAGGAACACCGGUGGCGAAGGCGGUUCUCUGGCAAUGUUCUGACGCUGAGGAGCGAAAGUGUGGGGAGCGAACAGGAUUAGAUACCCCCGUAGUCCCUGUCUCUUAUAC